AACAUCUGGUAUCUCAGUCAUAAAAAGAAUACUGGGGGAAUAGAUUCAGAGUAUGAGUCAUCAUACUAUUUCUUGUUUUUCAAAUUAUUUGGAAAUUAUCUCACCUGGGUGUACUUUUUUGCUUUAGUGGUGACAUUGAAGGAGUUGGCAAUUAGAUGGAGUACAUGCUGUGAUUUCUCCCACAGAAGAAAUCAUUCUUGAGCAAAGUGAACAUCUAAAAAUGUCCUGGAUUGCCCACAUGCAGAGAUAAUAAUCAAAGUAUUUAACUGGUACAGCAUGGUCCUCAACCAAUCAUAAAAGAUGCUGGUCUACAUGCUGCAGGGCUGCCUCACCAGCUGACCAUAGGCUCUGCCCAGUGAAACACAGGGGUCCCAGUUCUGCCUGGGUGAAAUCUGCAGGUAGGCUUGAGAGGUCAUUGAGCAGAGAAGGGUUUACUUGGCUUUCUCCAAGGGGGCUCAGAGGUAGGUGGGUAUGAUUUUGAUUCCUCCUCAGAAAAAGAAGUGAUGUGUAGAAACAUUUAUUGAACAUCUCUGAAGGGAGCUAAAGGCCCAGCAGGGGCCACAUCGGCAGGGACUUUGAGAGCUUUACAUUCCAACAUAUUAUUUGUGUUUUCUUCUGAGUAUGGAAGUAAAGCCACAAACCGCAUCAGGUUUCCUUCUGGAAGAAUGUCUCUUCUCCAUUGUGGGUGGUCUGGGCAAGACCAAAAGGCAAAGCAGCCAGCCUGUAGGUGUGUAUAUGAUCCAAGCCAUGUUUGGUGGAGAAUGGACCUCUUGGAAGAUCGUGUGGCAGCAACUACUGAAAAGGGAAGAAAAGAAGCCAGUCCCUGGAUCUUCAGCAAACAAGAGGAAGAAGGCACAAGAGGUAGGUGUGGGCCUGAGGGACACGGUGUACGUCCCUUGAGGAAGAUCCGCUUCACCACAGUUGGCUCUCAGGUACCCAGGGAGCUAGAAUUCCAGCCUGGUUUCUCCAUGGCCUCCCAGGUUGACCAGCUUGGGAGUCAGGCAUUCCUCACAAGCAAAGCCCUAGUAGCUUGA
rnacentral:lncRNA from 1 species